GCCGGGCGCGGUGGCGCGCGCCUGUAAUCCCAGCUACUCGGGAGGCUGAGGCUGGAGGAUCGCUUGAGCCCAGGAGUUCUGGGCUGCAGUGCGCUAUGCCGAUCGGGUGUCCGCACUAAGUUCGGCAUCAAUAUGGUGACCCCCCGGGAGUGGGGGACCACCAGGUUGCCUAAGGAGGGGUGAACCGGCCCAGGUCGGAAACGGAGCAGGUCAAAACUCCCGUGCUGAUCAGUAGUGGGAUCGCGCCUGUGAAUAGCCACUGUACUCCAGCCUGGGCAACAUAGCGAGACCCUGUCUCUU
rnacentral:SRP_RNA from 1 species